rnacentral:rRNA from 1 species
AGUGGCGAACGGGUGAGUAACACGUUGGUGACCUGCCCCGAGGUGGGGAAUAACUGUGGGAAACCACGGCUAAUACCCCGGAUGUUAAAGAGUUUAGACAUCUUUAACUAAAGUUCCGGCGCCUCGGGAGGGGCCUGCGGGCUAUCAGCUUGUUGGUGGGGUAACGGCCUACCAAGGCUAAGACGGCUAGGGGGCGUGAGAGCGCGACCCCCCACAAUGGAACUGAGAAACGGUCCAUACUCCUACGGGAGGCAGCAGUGAGGAAUAUUGCACAAUGGGGGAAACCCUGAUGCAGCAACGCCGCGUGAACGAUGAAGGCCUUCGGGUUGUAAAGUUCUUUUCUGGGGGACGAUAGUGACGGUACCUCAGGAAUAAGUCCCGGCUAACUACGUGCCAGCAGCCGCGGUAAAACGUAGGGGGCGAGCGUUAUCCGGAUUUAUUGGGCGUAAAGCGCAAGUAGGCAGCGUUGUAAGUUGGACGUGAAAGCUCCCGGCUCAACUGGGAGAGGUCGUUCAAAACUACAGUGCUCGAGGUUGGAAGAGGAGAGUAGAGUUCCCGGUGUAGUGGUGGAAUGCGUAGAUAUCGGGAGGAAUACCAGUGGCGAAAGCGACUCUCUGGUCCACACCUGACGCUGAGGUGCGAAAGCGUGGGUAGCGAACGGGAUUAGAUACCCCCGGUAGUCCACGCCGUAAACGAUGGAUACUAAGUGUAGGGGGUCACUGAAUCCCUCUG